rnacentral:tRNA from 1 species
AGCCCUGUAGUACAGCGGUCAAGUAUGCAGCCCUCUGGAGGCUGAGACCCAGGUUCGAAUCCUGGCAGGGCUA